UUUCAAAUUUAGUCCAGAAAUAAAAAUGAGUGCCAGUCAAUUCGUUAUUUUGGGAGAAUUUCAGCUUUAAAAUACAUACAUGGGGUUUCUAUCUGGCAAAUGAAGAAUGAAAAUUGAGUGGGAAACCUAGUUACCAGAGUGACCAUCCUUUACAAGGCUGAAUAAUAUUAAGGAAAUGACAACAAUACAGGAAAGGAUGGAAUUAGCUAAGAGGAGACAGAUACAACUUAGGUGACAAAAUCUUUGGAGUUGCCAUAUUAUAAUGGGUUCUUCCAGUGUGGCAAUUGACUUGACCACUAACAACAGCAGAGUUUCCAGUUGUUUCACUUUCUCCGGCCAAGAGCUAUUACUUUUUCUGAAUUCAAAAAAAAUCCCAGGUUGAUGUAUAUGGUCACAAAAGUGAACAUGAAAAAGAUCACCCAUUGAAAGAAACUGGCGAUUCUUAGAACCAGUAUGCAAUACUCACUUGAGCCCUUUGAGCUCUCUGCUUUCACGACUCACCUUUUCUGUUCUGGUGAGUAUUCUCUAAGGCUGAG